AAAGAAGUUCCUUAGUGGUCUAUAGGGGUGGUUUGUAGGGCCAUUGAUUUAAUUCUUCAUCAGUUCGAAUCUGAUCUUCUUUA
rnacentral:tRNA from 1 species